CGUAAUUAUGACGUUUUUCUAUUCCCAGUCACUUGUAAUCAUUUGUCUGCAUUGCAAUCUUUUGUCAAAGUCAUUGAAGCGUUUUACAAUAGGUAAACGUAAUUCAUUAAAUAUGAUAAUUAUUGACACCGGUCUGCAAUGUUUGGGAAAGAAUGAAUUGUCAUUAAUCUGUGCUUUGUUUCCAAGUUCCUCUAUGUGCCGUAUGAUGGUUAAGAAAGGCACAUGUUUGAACUUGGAGAGACAAUCAGAAAUUACAUCUUUAGAAGAAAGAAAUUAAGUUUACCAUUGUCAUGAUUGUAAAAACGAAACAUGAGAAACAUCUCCAGCUCAAAGUAAGUUACAAAACUUCAAAGUUAGUCCCAAAUUUUGUAUGACUCUCAAAAUGUAACACUCUUCUGGUGUGGUAUGAAAAAAAAAGAAAAAGGUGCUGAGCUAAUUUCUGUUGUUCAAUGAAAAGGAAAUAUUUUUUUAUGGACAUAAUUUUGCUUAUAAUUACUUAAGCUUACACUACAUUUGUAAACACAUCAUGUAUCACAUGUAUUGAAGUAAUAUGAGGCUCUACCUGCAUGCUGUGAAAGGGAACUAAUCAAAUCUGUAUGAUUUUUUUUUAAUUUUGCCUCUGCCAUAGCGGAGGGGGCAAUAAGUUUUACCCUUGUCCCUCUGUAUAGAUGUACAUGUACGUCCCAAAGUUGGUUUCAAUUCUUUAAACUUUUGGGGAGUCGCAGCACAGCAAAAGUGAGUAUAUCAGUGGUUGUCGUUUGUUUAUGUGUUAUUUGUUUUUCGUUCAUUUUUUUCACAUAAAUAAGGCCGUUAGUUUUCUCGUUUGAAUUGUUUUACAUUGUCUUAUCGGGGCCUUUUAUAGCUGACUAUGCGGUAUGGGCUCAAUGCUCAUUGUUGAAGGCCGUACGGUGACCUAUAGUUGUUAAUGUUUGUGUCAUUUUGGUAUUUUCUGGAUAGUUGUCUCAUUGGCAAUCAUACCACAUCUUCUUUUUUAUAUAUAUAUAUAUUUUUAAUGCUUUUUGAUAAACAAACAUGUACAUGUAUUUACACUUUUGCUAUUCAACUGAAUUUUGUCUCAAAAUGAUCUCAAGAUCUGUAAAUGAAUAACCUGGAGGUCAU
rnacentral:lncRNA from 1 species